UACGAAGGGGGCUAGCGUUGCUCGGAAUCACUGGGCGUAAAGCGCACGUAGGCGGCUUUCUAAGUCAGGGGUGAAAUCCUGGAGCUCAACUCCAGAACUGCCUUUGAUACUGGAGAGCUUGAGUCCGGGAGAGGUGAGUGGAACUCCGAGUGUAGAGGUGAAAUUCGUAGAUAUUCGGAAGAACACCAGUGGCGAAGGCGGCUCACGUGGCCCGGUAGUGACGCUGAUGUGCGAAAGCGUGGGGAGCAAACAGG
rnacentral:rRNA from 1 species